rnacentral:rRNA from 2 species
UUUUUACGGAGAGUUUGAUCCUGGCUCAGGACGAACGCUGGCGGCGUGCUUAACACAUGCAAGUCGAACGAUGAAG